rnacentral:piRNA from 1 species
UGAUAAUGUCUGGAUUUGGUGAUUGUAUA